rnacentral:misc_RNA from 1 species
GAAAUGCGAUAAGUAAUGUGAAUUGCAGAAUUCAGUGAAUCAUCGAAUCUUUGAACGCACAUUGCGCCCGCUAGUAUUCUGGCGGGCAUGCCUGUUCGAGCGUCAUUUCAACCAUCAAGCCCUAGGCUUGUGUUGGGGGCCUGCAGCCGCUGCAGCCCACUAAAAGCAGUGGCGGGCUCGCUGUCAUUCCGAGCGCAGUAGUUACAUCUCGCUCUGGGCGUGGUAGCGGGCACUUGCCGUAAAACACUCUUUCUAAGGUUGACCUCGGAUCAGGUAGGAAUACCCGGUGAACGUAAGC